rnacentral:rRNA from 1 species
CCUAUGGGCGGCAGCAGUGGGGAAUAUUGCACAAUGGGGGAAACCCUGAUGCAGCGACGCCGCGUGAGUGAAGAAGUAUUUCGGUAUGUAAAGCUCUAUCAGCAGGGAAGAAAUAGCGACCUUUGGGUCGCCAGACGGUACCUGACUAAGAAGCCCCGGCUAACUACGUGCCAGCAGCCGCGGUAAUACGUAGGGGGCAAGCGUUAUCCGGAUUUACUGGGUGUAAAGGGAGCGUAGACGGCAGCACAAGUCUGAAGUGAAAUGCCGGGGCUUAACCCCGGAACUGCUUUGGAAACUGUGCAGCUAGAGUGCAGGAGAGGUAAGUGGAAUUCCUAGUGUAGCGGUGAAAUGCGUAGAUAUUAGGAGGAACACCAGUGGCGAAGGCGGCUAUCUGGCACAUAACUGACGCUGAGGAGCGAAAGCGUGGGUAGCAAACAGGAUUAGAUACCCCUGUAGUC